rnacentral:rRNA from 1 species
UACGGAGGGUGCAAGCGUUAUCCGGAUUCACUGGGUUUAAAGGGUGCGUAGGCGGAUAGGUAAGUCCGUGGUGAAAUCCUGCAGCUUAACUGCAGAACUGCCAUGGAUACUAUCUAUCUUGAAUGUCGUGGAGGUUAGCGGAAAUAUGUCAUGUAGCGGUGAAAUGCUUAGAUAUGACAUAGAACACCCAUUGCGAAAGGCAGCUAACUACGCGAUAAUUGACGCUGAUGCACGAAAGCGUGGGGAUCAAAACAGG